rnacentral:lncRNA from 1 species
AUGGUACAGAGCGCUUCCUUGCACAGCCUUGCCCAUGAGCUCGUCCCUGGCCUGGAGGGACCCACUCUAGAGGUGUGGGUUUUCAUCUUUGGUGAUUUUCAUUUGCAAAAAAAAGAAGAAGAAGAAGAAGAAGAAGAAAGAAAGUUUUCCACUAAGUCUUACAUUCCCCAAUCUAGAGGGUCUCUUAAUCUUUCCAGAAGCAAUUGCUGCUGCCAGUAUGCCAGGACCUAUUUCUUCAUUAAUUUUUCCAAAGCCCUUAUAAUACUGAGGGGACUGAUACUGGGGCCGAUAAUGCCCAGUAAUUCUCGGUAUUUACAGAGCUUCUUUGUCUGAGAUCUCAAAGCACUUGACAGCAUUAAAUCAUCAUUCCCUCGGCUCUCUCAAAAGCAUCUUUGAACCAGAGGGGUGAUGCACAGAAAUGAAAUGUCUGCUUUCUAUCCAGAUUGUCUGAAAGGUGACUGGGGAGAGAAUACAAACCAACCAACAUCGUUUCUAGCCAGAGUAGCAUGUCCCUUUGGUUACUUCAGAUUUUUUUUUUUUUAACCUUUUGUGGAUGCAUUUCCAGUGAAUAGUAAAUCAUCUGUGUAUAAGCAGCAAAUAGAAAUGUGGCAAAAACGUUCAACGAUGUCAGGGGUUGAGUCCCUGGACGCAAAAAGGUAUAUUCAGGCCUUUAGGCUACUCACAUGCUCUCUGGUCUGACUCCCGGUCUUCUCGAUCCCAGAAAAUGUAUAAAUAUGACAAAACACCACUUCCUCUGGGCCAGGAAAAGAAGGCAGCAGAGAAGGAGAAGGAAAAAAAGCAGGAAGAUAAGGGGAGGGAGUGAUGUUUCCUUCCAAUGUUGGACAGUACCCUGUGAGCAGAAAGCCCAGCCUCAAGCAUAGUGCCUGAUUCCACCAGUGAGUAACUGCCCUUUUUAUAAAGAGCUUUUUAACUGUCACCCAUCCUACUUCUCCCCACCCUUUCCCACUCCCUAGUCUCCACAGCCCCCAUAUCCUCCACACACCAUACACAGAAUAUCAACCAGAGAGCAGGUUAUUUAGCAGGGAAAUGUUAGCAAACAUUAUCUCCUAUUUCAGAUACAAAAACCAAGGGACAGAGAAACUAACUUAUUUAGUGGUAAAGAUUCUGUCUUAGGUAUACGUAUCAAAACCUUCAUCAGCUGGGUCAGGAAUUAUCAAUCAAUAGGGUGAAUUUUUUUUUAAUUUUUAAAAAAUUAUUAAUUACACAAAUAACACAGAAGACCAAAAUAAAAAUAAACAUCACUGGGCACCUGGGUGGCUCAGUUCGUUAAGCCACUGCCUUCAGCUCAGGUCAUGAUCCCGGGAUCCCAGGAUCAAGUCCCGCAUCGGGCUCCCAGCUCUGAGGGGAGUCUACCUCUGAUCUUCUCCCCUCUCGUGCUCUCUCUCACUCUCUCUUGAAUAAAUAAAGUCUUUUUAAAAAAAAAGUCACUGCAGUCUCACCACCCCAACUAAACACCCUGCUACCUCCCUGUUCCCUGUCCUUUGAAGUUCAUAGGCCCUCUGCAGGUCCAGUAGUAACCAGAGCCUAUAGAAGUGUAAUAUUGUGAGCAAGAGCCCAGGUACAGGGACUAGGCAACCCACACUUCUAUCCAAUUCCACCAUUGACUAGCUGGGCCUUAGUUAUUCCAUCUAUAAAAUGAGAAUAUAGAUAUUUUGCACCUCACAGAAAUGUGAUGAGGAACCAGUGAGAUACCCGUGUCACGUAGUUAGCAAAGAAUAUAGUACCUACCUGAUCUAUCUGAGCUGCUGCUAAUAUUAUUAUUAAAUUUUGCUUUCUGCCUUUGAAAAUGCAUCUUAAGCAAAUACAGCAGAAUUGUCUGAUAGUUCCCAUAUACUUCCUAAGCAGACUUCCCACUCCUGGUGCACCACUUCUUCUAGGUUCUUGACAAGGUGGGGGAGAGUCCUUCCUGCAGAGAGCCAAGCAUCCAUUAGCCCCUCCCCUCCUAGGGCCUGUACAGACUGCACCUGUUGUGGGCUUCCCCACCGUCCUGACCCUGUUAUUCCUCAAAUUUCAAGGCUUCAGGGAAGAAAGUGCAGAAAUGAGAACCGUAGAGGACAUCUUACUUUUUAGAGUUCCCAGGGCCUUGUAGCUGUAUCCACCCGACCGAAGUAUGUUCUGAUUAUC